UCUAACACCAGAUAGGUAUUUAUACACCACCAAUUAGUAUUAAAACUGCAUCGAUUUGAUUCCAAACUUGUGUUGUUUCAAUACUUCUCUGGUGUGAACAUAAUAUAGAUUCUGGGCUGGUGGUAAAUCAACACCAGAGUUUUUGCAGUGUACCUGGGCUUUGAUGAACCAUACAUAUGUUUAUUCUACAAUCCCUGUUGGUUUCAUGGAAGAAUGAAUUUAACACACUCACCAGCAGUAUAAAUUGAAAUAUGAAUCAUAAAACCUUUAUUCACGUAGGAUACAAAAGAUAAAAUUAGGAAAAUUUGAUAAUUACAUGAGUAUCAUACACAUAUAAGAAAACAUAAUUCAUCAUCAAAACGAAACUUGAUCUAAAAUGCUUAUAUUGUUAGGUUUUUUUUCUUUGAAGUGUGUUACUGCAAACUUUGAGCUAAAUAUGAAAUAUGGAAAUCUUUCAGGCAUACUUGACAGUUAAAACUUUAAGAUUGACAGUACAUGAGUAAUAUAUAUAUAUAUACAUAGAUCUAGAGGUAUACAUGUAAAUCAAUGCCUAAAAAAUUUGUGAAGAUAUUACGCAGCAAAGCUAAAUAAUAUAGGUGUUCACCUCUGUGGUUAUACAAAUUGCUUUACUUUUGGUGGUAAUAAAACUGUAUUAUGCACUUUAAGUCUUAUAAGUGCAAACUUGUAUGAAAGAACUCAUCACAUACUACCAUAAUAAUGAUAACAUUAUGAUGUAAAGCCUCAUUUCAUGUGAUGUCAUGAUUUCAGCAUUUAUUGGUUUAAAGUUUUUUCACCCUGCAACAGAAUUCGCUUGCCUCUGAAACAUAUUUUUGACCCCCAUAAGAGACUUUAUACACAAAAAUGUCGAGCUUUGUUUUCUAACUUUACCGUGUCAUAUCUGAACAAGCAUUUAAAGGUGUAUUAUAUUGUGGCUUCCUUCAUAGUUCUGUAACUCUAUUAGAAGAUAUCUGAAAGUUGAAAACUUGAAAUCGCUCUAAUUAAAGUCUACUGAAAAUAGAAAUCCCUGAAUCACAUUAAUGAAAACAGGUUUAAAGCACAUCAACUACGGAGUUUCAGCCCCAGCAUACUGUUUAUUGCACAGCACCAUCUCAUGGUCAACCUGACCACAGUGCACAAUCAAUUCUUUCUUAAUAAUUCAAAUUGUUGAAGAGGCCUAACUCUGAGAACAAAAUGGCUUAGGUAUAGAACCAUAAUGCUGAAACUGGCCAAUGGCAUUAAACAAAUUAUUGUGAAAGUAUGCCUCUAAUUGAAAUACAAACCAAACUUAUCAAAGUCAAAUAUGCAAAGGUGUUUGGGUACCUAUGUUCAAAGCAACAAAAAGCAAAUUAAUGAUUACAAUCCUCUGUUAAACAGCAAUCAAACUCAUGAAGUUCAUUUGUAAUUUUAAAAUAAAAACAAAAGUAUGAUAAUGCAACCACUCUAUCACACUGAAAAUGAAAUAUUUAUAGUCAUUAAUGUUCUUCUGUGUAAUUGUACUAUAUCAUGAAUACAAAGUAUGUCUGGGACAAAGAAAUAUGAUGCACAUGAUGUUUAAUUAAUACCCAAAUUUCUUAAAGUACUAAAAAUUUACAUAAUUCUGAAGUACUGGGAAUGCUAGUUGAGAGAUCUACUAUAAAUUUAUAAAUACAUGUAUAAACCACAGAUUUGAAAGAACAUUUCCGAAACCUAGGCAUUUGGGUAAUUUUUUUCCAUCAAUUUAAACUCUGCUUUUUAAGCAUUUAUCCUGUUUUAACCUUUGUAAAUCUUUAUUGCUUCAUAGUUACUGGCCAUAAUCACAUAAUUGGCAUUAAUGAAAUAUAGGUAUAGAUGUUUUGCACUUACUGGACUCAACUCAAAAUCAGACCUUCAACAAAAGGUAAUAUGGAUAUAUAUAUAUCUGCAUAUAGCAGCAAUGGAAACGCACACCUGAGAGUUGACCUCAAGUCACCUGACCUGAGGUCAUGUUCAUGAACUUCGAAAUUUUUUUCGACUUCAUAGUGUAUUAUAUACCUUAUCGUCCAAAGCGAAUAUGGUAAGGGAGGGUAGUUGCCUAAUAGAACAGCCAUUUUGUGUAUGCGGGGAUAAGGUGUUGCUUGUGGUAGUGAAGCCACUUCCGACGCUUCCAGUGCCAGUUCUGCCAUGCCGGGUGGCGAUCCGGGGGGCAAAUUCGGCUACCAAACUGGCCUAAUGAGUGGUGAUACCCAAGUUGAAUAUAAAAGUAGAACAAUUACCUUAAUAAUUUGUGCGCCUAGAUGCUUAGCAUGCCAUCAUCACUCAUUAGGCCACUUUGGUAGCCGAAAUGGUCCGCUUGGAUCGCCGUCCGGCAUGGCAGUACACCUUAUUCCUGCAUCCCCGCAUACACAAAGUGGCUGAUCUAAUCGCUUUGGAUAAGGUAAGUAGUAUUCUCCGAGGCCAAAAAAUUCUAAGUUCACGAACAUGACUUCAGGUCAGGUGACUUGAAGUGUCCUGACUUGAGGUCACUCUCAGGAGCAUUUCCAUUGCUGCAUAUAUAUAUUUGUACAAAUAAUCAAUAUUCAUGAAUGCAAUGAAUCAUUCCAUCUUUCACCAAAUGAAGCAUUUUGUCCAUUGCACAAAUGAAAAAAAAUUGAUUUGUGACACUUACAAUAGAUCCUUGCCAUUUGACAUUUAUGAAAUUGUCUAUUGUCAUUUUAUGUUAUUUAUUUUUUGUAUGUACUUCAAAUGUGAUUAUAUGUUACUAUGUCAAUUGUAUCAUAAUUGUAAAUAUGAAAUUGAAAGUGGAAAAUAAAAUAAUUAAAUCGGCUGCAAAAGAGCAUGCGAUGUAUGCUAAGCACGCAUGGUCUGUCUCAGCAAGCAUGUAAAAUGGAUAGAAUCGUAUGAAUGAUGUCAUUGUAAAAAAGGCUGAAUUAUCAAUAUCAAACAACCAAAUCAAAUGACAAGGAUCUAUCUAGGUGUCAUAUCAAUAUAUAAUAUAUAUAUAUAUAUAUUAUAUAGACAUUUGAAGAGACUAGUAAAUAAGUCAAUACGAAUACAUUCAUUAACCUACACCAGUUGAACUAGCCUGAACUGGGACAUAUUCUUCUUGAACUUAGAACUUUGGUAAUUCUGACAUUAUCAAAACUACUUGGUAACAGGGCUCAGCAGCCAAUAAAGACCAAUUCAAGGUAGUUUUCAUAAUCUUGAGUUCUUUUUUAAAUGGGACUGAGAUUCUGCUUGUGUCAUAUACAGUGGUGCUCAAAAGAUAGUGAACUUCACCAGAAUAUGACAUACUUAAAGUGUCCAAGUUCUGCCUUUCUUUACAUAUUUAAUUGUGGAGUCGGGUGUUAAAGUAUUGUAUUAAAUAAAUUUGUUUUCUCUGGGCUCGCCGAACAUUGUAGUAUUGUUGUCUACAUUCAACACUCAGCAUGAAGAGUGCGUUUCGUGGUGGGGCUCACUAACUUUUGAGUACAAUUGUAUGAACAAUUGACAUUAUCUUCUGUUUUGCUUCUGCUCUUUUACUACCAUUAAAAUAUGGAAAUUAAACAUCCAAAAAAAAUUUGAGGAUGAAAACAUCUACCCUAGCUGCACAAAUUACCACACAUCGUUUUCAUAAUCUGAUUGAUACAUUUGAUACUACAAGCUUAUCUACCUUAUAAUAUAACUCGAUUACACAGACACAAACCUCAAUGAAAAUAUACUUUGUUCAAUGAAAAAUUAGUGUUAACAUUCAAAUAUAGAUAUAUUAUACAUCUUCAUAUACACAUAUCAAGAGACAUACAAUCCUCAGCAUAAUUAUUCUGAGCUUUUGAUUUCUAUCCAUGAGAAUUCUAAGAAAAAAAAAAGCUAAAAAACCUUGGGUAAACGACUCAUUUGGAGAGUAAAUAUAUUUGUUAUCGAUUAAAUAAAGUAAAUUUUUCAAUACAUUUUCACCAAAGGAUGCCUUUGUUUUGAGAGAAUAAACUCGUUAUUUUUACUGUAAGGUGAACAUUAAAAGUGAUCAUAUUAACCCCAAGUAACACUCAUCAUCUCAUUCAAUAGACCUUGUUAUCAAUUACACAUCGAUUUGCCCAAUCAAAAUGCACAUUAGCUUGUAACUUGUCAUUUUAACCAAGGUUAAUGCCCUCCUUUUAUUCACAUCUACAUUAGCAGGUUAAGAGUUAAAUGGUAAUUUCAAACUUGCAUGAUGUUGGGAUAAAAUUUUUUUAAAGUCAAAGAAGCAAGAUACAGAAAAUCUUCAUAAAAAUCUGAUGAAAGAAUCUUCAUCAAAGUCUGAUGAAAGUCAUGAAACCAUGAACUUCAUGCAUGAGGGUAAAGAUUCAUUCUUCAUUUUGGGUGACUUUUCACAUACAAUAUUUUUUCCAUUAGGAAAAAUAUGGUUGACUCUUCUCAUGAUAUGUAAAUAUGCUUAUUUUAAUGAGUCAAAUGAAACCUUUUUUCUAAUGAUCAAACUAAAAUAUAACAAAAUAUACAUGACUUUAUUUCAUGUAAAAAUUCAUUUUACAUAUCACUAUUUUCUGAAAUAAAAUCAACACUUAGAUGCAUAAACAUGUUAUGUAAAUAUGUCACGUUACAUCCUGUUAGAAUGUUUAUGCUCGUUAGAUUUUCUUAUAUUUAUUCAAA